rnacentral:rRNA from 1 species
UGGGGAAUAUUGGACAAUGGGCGCAAGCCUGAUCCAGCAAUGCCGCGUGUGUGAAGAAGGCCUUCGGGUUGUAAAGCACUUUUAUCAGGAGCGAAACGCUGUCGGCUAAUACCCGGCGGAACUGACGGUACCUGAGGAAUAAGCACCGGCUAACUUCGUGCCAGCAGCCGCGGUAAUACGAAGGGUGCAAGCGUUAAUCGGAAUUACUGGGCGUAAAGCGUGCGUAGGCGGUUUCUUAAGUCUGCUGUGAAAUCCCCGGGCUCAACCUGGGAAUGGCAGUGGAUACUGGGAGGCUAGAGUGUGUCAGAGGGUGGUGGAAUUCCCGGUGUAGCGGUGAAAUGCGCAGAGAUCGGGAGGAACAUCAGUGGCGAAGGCGGCCACCUGGGACAACACUGACGCUGAGGCACGAAAGCGUGGGGAGCAAACAGGAUUAGAUACCCUGGUAGUCCACGCCCUAAACGAUGCGAACUGGAUGUUGGUCUCAACUCGGAGAUCAGUGUCGAAGCUAACGCGUUAAGUUCGCCGCCUGGGGGAGUACGGUCGCAAGACUGAAACUUAAAUGAAUUGAC